rnacentral:rRNA from 1 species
UACGGAGGGGGCUAGCGUUGUUCGGAAUUACUGGGUGUAAAGCGCGUGUAGGCGGCAGACCAAGUCGGCGGUGAAAGCGCCCGGCUCAACUGGGCGAGGUCCGUGGAAACUGGUCAGCUGGAGGACGGUAGAGGCGAGUGGAAUUCCCGGUGUAGUGGUGAAAUGCGUAGAGAUCGGGAGGAACACCUGUGGCGAAGGCGGCUCGCUGGGCCGGUCCUGACGCUGAGACGCGAAGGCGUGGG